rnacentral:rRNA from 1 species
CCUACGGGAGGCAGCAGUGAGGAAUAUUGGUCAAUGGCCGGGAGACUGAACCAGCCAAGUAGCGUGAAGGAAGACGGCCCUACGGGUUGUAAACCUCUUUUAUCAGGGAGCAAGGUGCGGGUCGUGAGCUGCUGUGAGAGUACCUCAAGAAUAAGCAUCGGCUAACUCCGUGCCAGCAGCCGCGGUAAUACGGAGGAUGCGAGCGUUAUCCGGAUUUAUUGGGUUUAAAGGGUGCGCAGGCGGAGGCACAAGUCAGCGGUAAAAUCCCGGGGCUCAACCCCGCUCCGCCGUUGAAACUGUGUCCCUGGAGUGCGCGAAGGGUAGGCGGAAUGCGUGGUGUAGCGGUGAAAUGCAUAGAUAUCACGAAGAACUCCGAUCGCGAAGGCAGCCUACCGGAGCGCAACUGACGCUCAUGCACGAAAGCGUGGGUAUCGAACAGGAUUAGAUACCCGAGUAGUC